AACGAACGCUAGCGGCAGGCCUAACACAUGCAAGUCGAGCGAAGCCUUCGGGCUUAGCGGCGGACGGGUGAGUAACGCGUGGGAACGUGCCCUUUGGUACGGAAUAGCCCCGGGAAACUGGGAGUAAUACCGUAUGUGGUCGAGAGACGAAAGAUUUAUCGCCAAAGGAUCGGCCCGCGUUGGAUUAGGUAGUUGGUGGGGGAAUGGCCUAACAAGCCGACGAUCCAUAGCUGGUUUGAGAGGAUGAUCAGCCACAGUGGGACUGAGACACGGCCGAGACUCCUACGGGAGGCAGCAGUGUGGAAUCUUAGACAAUGGGGGAAACCUUGAUACAUCCAUGCCGCGUGAUCGAUGAAGGCCUUAGGGUUGUAAAGAUCUUUCAGUGGGGAAGAUAAUGACUGUACCCACAGAAGAAGCCCCGGCUAACUCCGUGCCAGCCGCCGCCGUAACAC
rnacentral:rRNA from 1 species